rnacentral:tRNA from 1 species
GAGGGUAUAGCUCAGUGUUAGAGCAUGUGCUUAGCAUGCACAAGGUCCUGAGUUCAAUCCCUAGAAUCUCCA